CGGUACGUACUGGCAUUGUUGGUUUCUCCCUUCUGACGAACCAUGAUGUCAUUUAUUUGGUGUUGUGGGGAAUCAGGACUGUUACUUUGAAAAAAUUAGAGUGUUUAAAGCAGGCUCACGCUUGAAUACAUUAGCAUGGAAUAAUGAAAUAGGACGUUCGAUCCUAUUUUGUUGGUUUCUAGGAUUGACGUAAUGAUUAAUAGGGAUAGUUGGGGGCAUUAGUAUUCAAUUGUCAGAGGUGAAAUUCUUGGAUUUAUUGAAGACUAACUACUGCGAAAGCAUUUGCCAAGGAUGUUUUCAUUAAUCAAGAACGAAAGUUAGGGGAUCGAAGACGAUCAGAUACCGUCGUAGUCUUAACCAUAAACUAUGCCGACUAGGGAUCGGAUGAUGUUAAUUUUUUAAUGACUCAUUCGGCGCCUUACG
rnacentral:rRNA from 1 species